rnacentral:rRNA from 1 species
AUGCAUCUUACUACAUGUUUGUAUUUAUUUACAUUGAUAUUUUCUUACUGCUUGCCUGUCCUUUCUCCUCUCCCUGCGCCCUACUUGUGUGUUCUUGCUCUUGCUUGUUGCAUGCGCAGGUUAAUUUCUUCUUGUGCUGUCCUGUGUCCUGUGUCCGCCCUCACAUUGUUCGCGUUAGUCUGCACUCCGUUCAUUUGCAUGGAACAUGUUUGA